CACUUACGUAUGGUAUUAGUUAUAUGGUUUACAUUGUCAUAAAAGCAUUUUAUUGAAAAUUUGUGUUCUAUCUAAAGAAAUAGUUUGGUUUUAAUCAAGUUAAAGUUUGUGGACAAAAGUGCUUCAAAUGUGCAGUGGCAUAUGACAACAUUGUAAUAUUUCUAUGGAAACAACUUUGAAGGUAUUUUUUGGCAAAGUGUCAAACAAAUGUGUCAAACUUUUUGAUGAUUUUAAAUCAUUUAUUGUGAAACAAUAAUGUUUUCGGCAAAUGCGGUGAGACAAUAUGGCAUCCGAUAUCCCCAGCGACGACAACCAAGCAUUAAUGUUUUUCGACGACUUGAUCAGAAACUUCAAGAAAAUCGCACUCCGGUUUCGGAAUAUUAAGGAAUACAUCCUGGAAGGCCUCGCGUAAGAAGAACUAUUGAGACAGAGAAAGCAAUUAUUGAUGCGGUUGACGAAAAUACAAGUUGGAUUUUCAAUCAGUUGUCGUCAAGUUGGUAGACUGUUAAACUUUCCGUUUAAAACAGUUAAUAGGGUGACGCGAGAUGAAAUGCUACAUCCAUAUCAUUAUAUCUACAAAAGUCCAGUCUUUAUUGCCAGCAGAUUACGAACGGAGAAUGGCUUUUGCUCAAUGGAUACUUGAUAAAGAUGUGGACUUUUUAAGAAAAAUUUUAUGGACGGAUGAAUCUUUAUUUACCAACAACGGAAUCUUUAACAGGCACAAACAUCAUUAUUUCGCAAUAAAUAAUCCAUUUUUGAAUUUUGAAACGGGACGUCAGCACAGAUGUAUUAGCUGGAAUAAUAGAAAACCAAUAGUUUCUUGCAAUAUGAUUUAGAAAAUCAUUUAUUGGAUGAUGUGCCUCUGGCAGUCAGAAGAGAGAUGUGGCGGCUACAAAUGGACGGUGCUGGUUCUCAUUACGCUGUACCAGUUCGAAGAUGGCUUAACGAAAAUUACGAAAAUAGGUGGUUAGGCCGCGGCAGUGCUACUCCUUGGCCGGCUAGGUUUCCAGACUUAAAUCCUGUUGAUUUUUUUAUGGGGCCAUGUCAAAGACAUUGUAUUUACUCCACCAGUGCCGUAAAAUCUAGCCAUUUUGCAAGAACGAGUUUUUGUAGCCUUUAACUCAGUUACUCUAGACAUGUUAGAACGUACCACAAAUUCUGUUAAAAGACGUGCCGAAGCCUGUUUAUUAGCAAAUGGCAGAACAUUUCAACAUUUAUUAUAAAAUACAUUGUUUGUUUUCAA